AGAGUUUGAUCAUGGCUCAGAAUCGACGCUGGCGGCGCGCUUAACACAUGCAAGUCGCACGAGAAAGUGGAGCAAUCCAUGAGUACAGUGGCGUACGGGUGAGUAACACGUGGAUCAUCUACCUCUUAGUGGGGAAUAACCCUGGGAAACCGGGGCUAAUACCGCAUAAUCUCGAGAGAGGAAAGCAGCAAUGCGCUGAGAGAGGAGUCCGCGGCCGAUUAGCUAGUUGGUAGGGUAACGGCCUACCAAGGCAAAGAUCGGUAGCCGGCCUGAGAGGGCACACGGCCACACUGGCACUGAAACACGGGCCAGACUCCUACGGGAGGCAGCAGUGGGGAAUCUUGCACAAUGGGGGCAACCCUGAUGCAGCGACGCCGCGUGAGCGAUGAAGCCCUUCGGGGUGUAAAGCUCUUUCGGCAGGGAAGAUUAUGACGGUACCUGCAGAAGCAGCUGCGGCUAACUACGUGCCAGCAGCCGCGGUAAUACGUAGGCAGCGAGCGUUGUUCGGAGUUACUGGGCGUAAAGGGUGUGUAGGCGGUUGUUUAAGUUUGGUGUGAAAUCUCCCGGCUCAACUGGGAGGGUGCGCCGAAUACUGAAUGACUCGAGUGCGGGAGAGGAGAGUGGAAUUCCUGGUGUAGCGGUGAAAUGCGUAGAUAUCAGGAGGAACACCGGCGGUGUAGACGGCUCUCUGGACCGUAACUGACGCUGAGACACGAAAGCGUGGGUAGCAAACAGGAUUAGAUACCCUGGUAGUCCACGCCCUAAACGAUGCAUAUUUGGUGUGGGUCAUUCAGUUGAUCCGUGCCGGAGCUAACGCGUUAAAUAUGCCGCCUGGGGAGUACAGUCGCAAGGCUGAAACUCAAAGGAAUUGACGGGGGCCCGCACAAGCGGUGGAGCAUGUGGUUCAAUUCGACGCAACGCGAAGAACCUUACCUGGGCUCGAACGGCUGGUUAACGGCGGUGGAAACAUCGCUACCCCGCAAGGGGUCCAGUCGAGGGUGCUGC
rnacentral:rRNA from 1 species